ACGGCCAUACCAUGCUGAAUAUACCGGUUCUCGUUAGAUCACCGAAGUCAAGCAUCAUUGGGCGCGGUCAGUACUUGGGUGGGUAACCACCUGGGAACACCGCGUGCCGUU
rnacentral:rRNA from 1 species